rnacentral:rRNA from 1 species
GACGAACGCUGGCGGCGUGCUUAACACAUGCAAGUCGAACGGAAAGGCCCCUUUGGGGGUCCUCGAGUGGCGACCGGGUGCGUAACACGUAAGUAACCUUCCCUUGACUUCGGGAUAACUUCAGGAAACUGGGGCUAAUACCGUAUAGGAAUCCUUGCUGCAUGGUGGGGGUUGGAAAGCUUCGGCGGAUUUUGAUGGACUCGCGGCUUAUCAGCUUGUUGGUGGGGUAGUGGCUUACCAAGGCUUUGACGGGUAGCCGGCCUGAGAGGGCGACCGGCCACAUUGGGACCUGGAGUCGGCCCAGACUCCUACGGGAGGCAGCAGGGGGGAAUAUUGCAACACGGGCGGACGCCUGAUGCAGUAACGCCGCGGGCGGGAUGACGGCCGUCGGGUGGAAAACCGCUUUCAGCAGGGGCGAAGCUUGUGGUGACGGUGCCUUCAGAAGAAGCAACGGCUAACUACGUG